GAAGAAAAAAGUUGCCACAUGGAUAACAGCAUUAUCUUUUUUGAGAGUUCAUCAUUGACGAAAAGGUUUGCGACCUCGAUGUUGGAUCAGGACAUCAUAAGAAUGCAGAAGCUUUUGAGGAUUGGUCUGUUCGACCGUUAAAGUCCUUUCAUGAUCUGAGUUCAGACCGGCGAGAGCCAGGUCAGUUUCUAUC
rnacentral:ncRNA from 1 species